rnacentral:tRNA from 2 species
GCGGGUGUGGCGGAACUGGCAGACGCACUAGACUUAGGAUCUAGCGCCUUACGGCGUGGGGGUUCGACUCCCUUCACCCGCA